ensembl:lncRNA
CUUCCACUUGUGCGGAGGAGAAGAUGUUAGCGGUCCAGUCACCAUGGAGACUGCCUACUGAAAAUGGAGUCAGCCCUGAAAUCUACGAUGUGUCAAGGGGAGCGAGAACGAAACCUGGAGUAGUCAGAUGUCUGAACUGGGCCAUGUGUGAAUCCACCCCUGGACUUCCCAGCUGUGGCAGCUCUCCGCUUUCUGUCUAGUGGAGCUAAUUUAAACUGGGCCUUCUGUCACAUUGCAGGUUGGCGACCUGACUGACUUACUUGCUCUCUCCCCUGGGAAGUGUCCUUUAGGUCCCCUGGCUAGCCGAAGGGAGAAAAUGCCCAGAGGCCUCUUCCAUCAGCAGGCCCUCUCGGGCGAAGCCAGCCCGCCGGCUCCGUGAGAGCAGAAAAUGACACCUGCUCUGGGCCGACAUGUCCACAUGUGUGGAGAGAGGGGCGCUGGCUUGAUUUCAGCCCAUCCCUUCUCUGGGUGAUCUGGUGCAGGAAACAUUGUGGAAAGUGGCCUCAAGGGGUAGCCCAGGCAUGGAGUACUUGGCCUUAGGCAGAAGCUUCUCGCUGGGAAAGUUGCUGGGAGAAUCCUAAGACCCUUGACUUAGUUUCCUCAUAAAUUCGGACAGAUUCCCAGGGAGGAGCUGUGACAUCAGAGGACACCAUGCUGUCAGACUCUCCUCACAACAAGCCAGGCCAGCCUUGAAGGGCCCCGAUGCAUACCUCUACCUGCAAAGAGCGAGACUGCCCCUUUAUCUGCAGGCUUACCCAAACUAGAUGUUUAAAUUAAAAAAAUCUGUUAUAUAAGCAAUUAAAAUAUGCUGUCUCAAUUAUAAAUAAAACG